CCUAAUAAUGCAAGUCGAACGAGCUUCCGUUGAAUGACGUGCUUGCUCGAUUUUAACAAUGAAGCGAGUGGCGAACUGGUGAGUAACACGUGGGAAAUCUGCCCAGAAGCAGGGGAUAACACUUGGAAACAGGUGCUAAUACCGUAUAACAACAAAAUCCGCAUGGAUUUUGUUUGAAAGGUGGCUUCGGCUAUCACUUCUGGAUGAUCCCGCGGCGUAUUAGUUAGUUGGUGAGGUAAAGGCCCACCAAGACGAUGAUACGUAGCCGACCUGAGAGGGUAAUCGGCCACAUUGGGACUGAGACACGGCCCAAACUCCUACGGGAGGCAGCAGUAGGGAAUCUUCCACAAUGGACGAAAGUCUGAUGGAGCAAUGCCGCGUGAGUGAAGAAGGGUUUCGGCUCGUAAAACUCUGUUGUUAAAGAAGAACACCUUUGAGAGUAACUGUUCAAGGGUUGACGGUAUUUAACCAGAAAGCCACGGCUAACUACGUGCCAGCAGCCGCGGUAAUACGUAGGUGGCAAGCGUUGUCCGGAUUUAUUGGGCGUAAAGCGAGCGCAGGCGGUUUUUUAAGUCUGAUGUGAAAGCCUUCGGCUUAACCGGAGAAGUGCAUCGGAAACUGGGAGACUUGAGUGCAGAAGAGGACAGUGGAACUCCAUGUGUAGCGGUGGAAUGCGUAGAUAUAUGGAAGACACCAGUGGCGAAGGCGGCUGUCUAGUCUGUAACUGACGCUGAGGCUCGAAAGCAUGGG
rnacentral:rRNA from 2 species